rnacentral:tRNA from 1 species
CGGGGUAUAGCUCAGCUUGGUAGAGCGCUUGGAUCGGGACCAAGAGGCCGCGGGUUCAAAUCCUGCUACCCCGA